rnacentral:rRNA from 1 species
AGAGUUUGAUCAUGGCUCAGGAUGAACGCUGGCGGCGUGCCUAACACAUGCAAGUCGAGCGAAGCACUUUACUUUGAUUCUUCGGAUGAAGAGUUUUGUGACUGAGCGGCGGACGGGUGAGUAACGCGUGGGUAACCUGCCUCAUACAGGGGGAUAACAGUUAGAAAUGACUGCUAAUACCGCAUAAGACCACAGCACCGCAUGGUGCAGGGGUAAAAACUCCGG